rnacentral:lncRNA from 1 species
AUCACGUGCUUGUUCUCCCUGACUCUGGUCUGGGAAAAGGCAAUGGUUCCUUCUGGCUCCUUUGCACAUCUAGUAUUUAUUUUACCCUCAGCUCGUAGAUUUCAGAUGUACUGGGCUUGAGCAUCUGCAAAGGCCUAGGAAACAGCCAGAAUUUCAUUGUAAGCUCAAGAAUCCUGUUUCUCUGACAGAGGAAAGGAACAACUUGACUGGACACAUCCUAACCCAACCAUACGCUGUGUUACUUCCUCCACUGUGCCACACACAGCUAUUAUUCUAAGCUUUCUUAUUCAAACCCUUAAGGAUUUGUAAGCUCCUGAUCAACUGGAAGAGAGUUCCUACCACAGAAAGAAAGGCAGCCAAGAACACAAUGUCCUGACCUAGCUCUUGGAAGUACUAAAUUUCAUCACAGAAACCACAGCCUCAAGGACAGAGGACUUAUCCAGAGUCAUCAAAUCUAUCGCUUUUUCUGCUUUCUGUUUUCUCUGAAAGAGCCGUGAAUGAUGAGACGACAAAAUAUUGGAUUAUUUGUGCUCUUGAAACAGAUGCCACCUGAGUUGUGACAG